UACGGAGGAUCCCAAGCGUUAUCCGGAUUUAUUGGGUUUAAAGGGUGCGUAGGCGGCUUAUUAAGUCAGGGGUGAAGACGGUGGCUCAACCAUCGCAGUGCCUUUGAUACUGAUGAGCUUGAAUGAACUAGAGGUAGGCGGAAUGUGACAAGUAGCGGUGAAAUGCAUAGAUAUGUCACAGAACACCGAUUGCGAAGGCAGCUUACUAUGGUUUUAUUGACGCUGAGGCACGAAAGCGUGGGGAUCAAACAGGAUUAGAUACCCUAGUAGU
rnacentral:rRNA from 1 species